UGUAGUAUUGCAUAUACAUAUUAACAUAGGACACGGAAAAAGUUAAAGAGAAUACCUGAUAUGCAGCAGUAGGCAAAGGAGAAUGGUUCCUGAGAAGUCUUAUGAUAUCCAAAUAAGGAAGACCAGGUUUGACCUGUGAUCCAAUCAGAUAAAC